AGGAUUAACGCUGGCGGCGUGCCUAACACAUGCAAGUCGAACGAGGUAGCAAUACCUAGUGGCAGACGGGUGAGUAACGCGUGGUCAACCUACCGUUGAGUGGGGGAUAACUAGCCGAAAGGUUAGCUAAUACCGCAUACGAGUCUCGGGGGCAUCCCUGGGCCUUAAAAGGAGCAAUCCGCUCGAUGACGGGACCGCGUCCCAUUAGCUAGAUGGUGGGGUAAUGGCCUACCAUGGCACCGAUGGGUAGCUGGUUUGAGAGAGCGACCAGCCACACUGGGACUGAGAAACGGCCCAGACUCCUACGGGAGGCAGCAGUGAGGAAUUUUCCGCAAUGGGCGAAAGCCUGACGGAGCGACGCCGCGUGUGGGAAGAAGGCCUUCGGGUCGUAAACCACUGUCGAAGGGGACGAGUAAUGACGGUACCCUUGGAGGAAGCCCCGGCUAACUACGUGCCAGCAGCCGC
rnacentral:rRNA from 1 species